ACGUACACUCCUGCGGGAGGCAGCAGUGGGGAAUAUUGCACAAUGGGCGCAAGCCUGAUGCAGCCAUGCCGCGUGUAUGAAGAAGGCCUUCGGGUUGUAAAGUACUUUCAGCGGGGAGGAAGGCGAUAAGGUUAAUAACCUUGUCGAUUGACGUUACCCGCAGAAGAAGCACCGGCUAACUCCGUGCCAGCAGCCGCGGUAAUACGGAGGGUGCAAGCGUUAAUCGGAAUUACUGGGCGUAAAGCGCACGCAGGCGGUCUGUCAAGUCGGAUGUGAAAUCCCCGGGCUCAACCUGGGAACUGCAUUCGAAACUGGCAGGCUAGAGUCUUGUAGAGGGGGGUAGAAUUCCAGGUGUAGCGGUGAAAUGCGUAGAGAUCUGGAGGAAUACCGGUGGCGAAGGCGGCCCCCUGGACAAAGACUGACGCUCAGGUGCGAAAGCGUGGGGAGCAAACAGGAUUAGAUACCCCGGUAGUCCCAU
rnacentral:rRNA from 1 species